rnacentral:rRNA from 1 species
GACGAACGCUGGCGGCGUGCUUAACACAUGCAAGUCGAACGGAAAGGCCCUGCUUGCAGGGUACUCGAGUGGCGAACGGGUGAGUAACACGUGGGUGAUCUGCCCUACACUUCGGGAUAAGCCUGGGAAACUGGGUCUAAUACCGGAUAGGAGCCAUUUUUAGUGUGAUGGUUGGAAAGUUUUUUCGGUGUAGGAUGAGCUCGCGGCCUAUCAGCUUGUUGGUGGGGUAAUGGCCUACCAAGGCGGCGACGGGUAGCCGGCCUGAGAGGGUGGACGGCCACAUUGGGACUGAGAUACGGCCCAGACUCCUACGGGAGGCAGCAGUGGGGAAUAUUGCACAAUGGGCGCAAGCCUGAUGCAGCGACGCCGCGUGGGGGAUGACGGCCUUCGGGUUGUAAACUCCUUUCGCUAGGGACGAAGCUUUUUGUGACGGUACCUAGAUAAGAAGCACCGGCUAACUACGUG